AGUUAGAUAACGCAAAACGUAGUCGAAUGUCACUGAAGUAACACCAUAUUACCGCAAUAAAAUCGUUCAACACGUCUAUAAAAGCGGGGAAUAUUUGAAAACAGACGUACGCUCGGAGUAAUAUUCACUCCAUAAUAACACAAUACAAACAAUAAAACGCUACUGAUUUGUUUGGAUCGGAUUUACACAUGGCAGAUAAUUGAUUGACAGACAAAUGUCAAAUAGAAUAAAAAAUAAAAGUGGGCAAUUUGGAUUUUGAAUAUUGCAACUGUAAAUUUUGAAUUUCAUUAGAUUUGCAGCUGAAAAGUGAGAUAUAAUGCCGAAUAACACAAAAUCUAUUUUCCUAGAUGUGGACUCUACCAUUAUUGAAAAUAAUCUUCGUUUUAUGAAGGAUUCAAGUGAAGAAGAAUUGGGUAAAUUUUUCACAACACCUGGCUAUGCUUC